rnacentral:rRNA from 1 species
UACGUAGGGGGCAAGCGUUGUCCGGAAUUACUGGGCGUAAAGGGCGCGUAGGUGGCCUUCUAAGUUGAACGUGAAAUCCCUGGGCUCAACCCAGGAACUGCGUCCAAGACUGGGAGGCUUGAAUCCGGGAGAGGGAUGCGGAAUUCCAGGUGUAGCGGUGAAAUGCGUAGAUAUCUGGAGGAACACCGGUGGCGAAGGCGGCAUCCUGGACCGGUAUUGACACUGAGGCGCGAAAGCCAGGGGAGCAAACGGG